rnacentral:tRNA from 1 species
GGCCGCCUGGCGUAAUGGCAACGCGUCUGACUACGAUUUCGUAAUCAGGAGAUUGCAGGUUCGACCCCUGCGGUGGUCA